rnacentral:rRNA from 1 species
GACGAACGCUGGCGGCGUGCUUAACACAUGCAAGUCGAACGGAAAGGCCCUGCUUUUGUGGGGUGCUCGAGUGGCGAACGGGUGAGUAACACGUGAGUAACCUGCCCUUGACUUUGGGAUAACUUCAGGAAACUGGGGCUAAUACCGGAUAGGAGCUCCUGCUGCAUGGUGGGGGUUGGAAAGUUUCGGCGGUUGGGGAUGGACUCGCGGCUUAUCAGCUUGUUGGUGGGGUAGUGGCUUACCAAGGCUUUGACGGGUAGCCGGCCUGAGUGGGUGACAGGCCACAGUGGGACUGAGAUGCGGCCCAGACUCCGACGGGAGGCAGCAGUGGGGAAUAUUGAACAAUGGGCGGAAGCCUGAUGCAGCAACGCCGCGUGCGGGAUGACGGCCUUCGGGUUGUAAACCGCUUUCGCCUGUGACGAAGCGUGAGUGACGGUAAUGGGUAAAGAAGCACCGGCUAACUACGUG